AACGAACGCUGGCGGCAUGCCUAACACAUGCAAGUCGAACGAGACCUUCGGGUCUAGUGGCGCACGGGUGCGUAACGCGUGGGAACCUGCCCUUAGGUUCGGAAUAACUCCCCGAAAGGGGUGCUAAUACCGGAUAAUGUCUUCGGACCAAAGAUUUAUCGCCUUUGGAUGGGCCCGCGUUGGAUUAGCUAGUUGGUAGGGUAAAAGCCUACCAAGGCGACGAUCCAUAGCUGGUCUGAGAGGAUGAUCAGCCACACUGGGACUGAGACACGGCCCAGACUCCUACGGGAGGCAGCAGUGGGGAAUAUUGGACAAUGGGCGAAAGCCUGAUCCAGCAAUGGCGCGUGAGUGAUGAAGGCCUUAGGGUUGUAAAGCUCUUUUACCCGGGAUGAUAAUGGCAGUACCGGGAGAAUAAGCACCGGCUAACUCCGUG
rnacentral:rRNA from 1 species